rnacentral:rRNA from 1 species
GACGAACGCUGGCGGCGUGCCUAAUACAUGCAAGUCGAACGCAGGGGGGACGGGUGAGUAACACGUGGGUAACCUCCCAUCAGAGGGGAUAACACGUGGAAACAGGUGCUAAACCGACACUGAUGGAUGGACCCGCGGGGCAUUAGCUAGUUGGUGAGGUAACGGCUUACCAAGGCCACGAUGCAUAGCCGACUUGAGAGGGUGACCGGCCACACUGUGACUGAGACACGGACCAGACUCCUACGGGAGGCAGCAGUAGGUAAUUUUGGGCAAUGGACGAAAGUCUGACCGAGCCACGCCGCGUGAGUGAUGAAGGUUUUCGGAUCGUAAAACUCUUUUGUUAGAGAAGCGGUAUCUGACCAGAAAGCCACGGCUAACUACGUGCCAGCAGCCGCGGUAAUAC